UAAGACGAACCGUCCAAACGUUAUUCGGAAUCACUGGGCUUAAAGGGUGCGUAGGCGGCUUGGCAAGUUGGGUGUGAAAUCCCUCGGCUCAACCGAGGAACUGCGCUCAAAACUGCCUGGCUAGAGGGAGAUAGAGGUGAGCGGAACUUAAGGUGGAGCGGUGAAAUGCGUUGAUAUCUUAAGGAACACCGGUGGCGAAGGCGGCUCACUGGAUCUCUUCUGACGCUGAGGCACGAAAGCCAGGGUAGCGAACGGGAUUAGAUACCCCGGUAGUCCUGGCUGUAAACGAUGAGCACUUGGUUGGAGGCUCCUCCAUAGGCUUCCGGCCGUAGCGAAAGUGUUAAGUGCUCCGCCUGGGGAGUAUGGUCGCAAGGCUG
rnacentral:rRNA from 1 species